GGUCAAGCAAUGAAGCGCACACGGUGGAUGCCUAGGCAGCCAGAGGCGAUGAAAGACGUGGUAGCCUGCGAUAAGGUUCGGUGAGGUGGCAAACGACCUGUGACCCGGACAUCUCUGAAUGGGGAAACCCACUCAUCACAAGAUGAGUAUCCUGUCCUGAAUACAUAGGGGCAGGAGGCGAACCAGGGGAACUGAAACAUCUAAGUACCCUGAGGAAAAGAAAUCAACCGAGAUUCCCCUAGUAGCGGCGAGCGAACGGGGACCA
rnacentral:rRNA from 1 species